GACAGAGGGGGCAAGCGUUGCUCGGAAUUACUGGGCGGAAAGGGCGCGUAGGCGGGGUGGCAAGUCGGUCGUGAAAUCCUUCGGCUCAACCGAAGAACGUCGAUCGAUACUGCUGUUCUUGAGGGUUGCAGAGGAGACUGGAAUUCCCGGUGUAGCGGUGAAAUGUGUAGAGAUCGGGAGGAACACCGGUGGCGAAGGCGGGUCUCUGGGCAAUUCCUGACGCUGAGGCGCGAAAGCGUGGGGAGCAAACGGG
rnacentral:rRNA from 1 species